rnacentral:lncRNA from 1 species
GUUCGCUGUCCAUCCUAUUUCAUGAUCAGACAAGGGUCGGGGAAGAAGCUGUUAUGCCUUCACGCGAUGCGUUCAGGAAAAAGGCUUUUGGUGGUGUUGCUCGUGCUGCACUGGAGCGCUCGCGGCAGCGCGGUGACGGACGGUUCAACUGAGACUCAUCCCCAAUGUGACACUGAUGGAUCGACCGUAAGAUGCACAUUGGAAGAGACUCAUUUGAUGAGUCCUGACCCAAUUAAACUGGAUUUCACUGAAGGACAAACUGUGGAAAUUUACAGUGCAUGCCAACAAAACGGCUCAGAUGGGCUUAAGUGUCUCUGCCAAAGGAUAAAUACCUCUAUGCAUGCAUUACAGCACACUGAGAGAUUUGGAAAUGAAACAUACACUGUAAUCUGUGGCAAUCAUAGUGUUACAGUUGUUCGGUCACCACAAAGGAGGCCAUCAGUUCCAGUGCUCAAAGCUAUCCCAAAAGCAGGGUCUACAAAUAUAGCUCAAUUAGUGUGUACUUCUGAGGGGAACCCAAAACCAACCAUCAGGUGGUAUGGUAACAGAAAUAAUCCAGAGGAGGGCAUGAAAAAUAAGUGGUAUAAGACAGAGAGCAUUGUGACGAGUGACGAUGAUCAUCAUGAAAGUCCAAAUAUUACGUGCUGUGCCAAUAAUUCACUGGGAAAAGAAUGUACUCAGCUUCAUCAUUUCGGUAU